CCGGGUGCACGGGUGAGUAACGCGUAUGCAACUUACCUAUCAGGAGGGGAUAACCCGGCGAAAGUCGGACUAAUACCGCAUGAAGCAGGGGCCCCGCAUGGGGAUAUUUGCUAAAGAUUCAUCGCUGAUAGAUAGGCAUGCGUUCCAUUAGGCAGUUGGCGGGGUAACGGCCCACCAAACCGACGAUGGAUAGGGGUUCUGAGAGGAAGGUCCCCCACAUUGGUACUGAGACACGGACCAA
rnacentral:rRNA from 1 species